rnacentral:rRNA from 1 species
GAUGAACGCUAGCGGCAGGCUUAACACAUGCAAGUCGAGGGGCAGCACGGUGUAGCGAUACACUGGUGGCGACCGGCGCACGGGUGAGUAACACGUGUGCAACCAACCCGUCCGGGAGAUAACCCGCGGAAACGUGGACUAACAUCCCAUGAUACUCGAGAGCCGCAUGGCUCUAGAUUUAAAAUUCCGGUGGUACGGACGGGCACGCGCGACAUUAGGUAGUUGGCGGGGUAAGGGCCCACCAAGCCGACGAUGUCUAGGGGUUCUGAGAGGAAGGUCCCCCACACUGGAACUGAGACACGGUCCAG